rnacentral:rRNA from 1 species
ACGCUCGACACCUACGGUAGGCAGCAGUCGGGAAUAUUGCGCAAUGGAGGGAACUCUGACGCAGUGACGCCGCGUAUAGGAAGAAGGUUUUCGGAUUGUAAACUAUUUUAGACAGGGAAGAAUAAAGACAGUACCUGUAGAAUAAGCUCCGGCUAACUACGUGCCGGCAGCCGCGGUAAUCUGAGCGGGCUGGCAAGGC